rnacentral:rRNA from 1 species
GACGAACGCUGGCGGCGUGCCUAACACAUGCAAGUCGAACGAGAUCCAUGGGAGCUUGCUCCCGGAAGAUCUAGUGGCGAACGGGUGAGUAACACGUGAGAAACCUGCCCUGGAGUGGGGAAUAACUCGGGGAAACUCGAGCUAAUACCGCAUACCCUCGGAUGGUCGCAUGGCCGACCGAGGAAAGAUUUAUCGCUCUAGGAGGGUCUCGCGGCCUAUCAGCUAGUUGGUGGGGUAACGGCCUACCAAGGCAACGACGGGUAGCUGGUUUGAGAGAACGAUCAGCCACACUGGGACUGAGACACGGCCCAGACUCCUACGGGAGGCAGCAGUGGGGAAUCUUGCGCAAUGGGCGAAAGCCUGACGCAGCAACGCCGCGUGCGGGAUGACGGCCCUCGUGGUUGUAAACCGCUUUCAGCAGGGACGAAAAUGACGGUACCUGCAGAAGAAGCCCCGGCUAACUACGUGCCAGCAGCCGCGGUAAU